GCGACGGGUGAGUAACCGUGGGCAAUCUGCCCUUCACUCUGGGACAAGCCCUGGAAACGGGGUCUAAUACCGGAUAACACUUCCACUCUCCUGGGUGGAGGUUAAAAGCUCCGGCGGUGAAGGAUGAGCCCGCGGCCUAUCAGCUUGUUGGUGAGGUAAUGGCUCACCAAGGCGACGACGGGUAGCCGGCCUGAGAGGGCGACCGGCCACACUGGGACUGAGACACGGCCCAGACUCCUACGGGAGGCAGCAGUGGGGAAUAUUGCACAAUGGGCGAAAGCCUGAUGCAGCGACGCCGCGUGAGGGAUGACGGCCUUCGGGUUGUAAACCUCUUUCAGCAGGGAAGAAGCGAAAGUGACGGUACCUGCAGAAGAAGCGCCGGCUAACUACGUGCCAGCAGCCGCGGGUAAUACG
rnacentral:rRNA from 1 species